UACGUAGGGUGCGAUCGUUGUCCGGAAUUACUGGGCGUAAAGAGCUCGUAGGUGGUUUGUCGCGUUGUCCGUGAAAACUCACAGCUUAACUGUGGGCGUGCGGGCGAUACGGGCAGACUGGAGUACUGCAGGGGAGACUGGAAUUCCUGGUGUAGCGGUGGAAUGCGCAGAUAUCAGGAGGAACACCGGUGGCGAAGGCGGCUCUCUGGGACGGUACUGACGCUGAGACGCGAAAGCGUGGGGAGCGAACAGG
rnacentral:rRNA from 1 species